UGGGUUUUGUUCGGCGAGCUUUCUAUUCUCUUCUCCCUUCUCUAAUCAUUAGAUUACAGGGAGACAGAGUUUAGAUCUCAUCUUCACCUUUAUGGUGUAAAUAAAUUAUGGCAUACUUGUCGGACUUUUGUCUCCGGCUAAUUCCGGUUCUCUCUCGUUUGUAGGCGAGAUUAGAUCUCCUUUCCAUCUUUGUCCUAUCCAUCGAUUUCUCUGUUUUCUUCUAAGUUUUUCCGAUGUCUCCAAUUACUUGUGGAGUAAAAUCUUCGUCACUUUCCUUUGCUCAAGACGCAAGAGCAAAUAAGGAUCUUAGACUACAUCAAUUUGGGUGCAGUCGGUGGUGGAGCUUCCAUGGAGUUGGUGAUUCCUUGACAAAUUUUGAACCAGUUUUAAUUGAUCAAAUCCAAAAGAUUUCGGGUCUUUUUACAUUGGAUUGGAGAUCAGCAUAAGGGAAGAGGAUUCUCACCGCUACUUUGCUGAUCGGCGGCGGCUAAUCGAAAUUUUUGGCGGUGUCUGACGAAUUUCGACAGUAGUGCAUGAAGACCUGACGCGUGGUCUUUGGAAGAACACAUCUUCUCCACGUGUCUAUGCUAAAUCAUAUGUGCAAAUUGCAAUUAUCUUUCUUUGU